rnacentral:rRNA from 1 species
CCUACGGGCGGCUGCAGUGGGGAAUAUUGGACAAUGGGGGGAACCCUGAUCCAGCCAUGCCGCGUGUGUGAAGAAGGCCCUCGGGUUGUAAAGCACUUUCAGUGAGGAAGAACGCCUGGUGGUUAAUACCCAUCAGGAAAGACAUCACUCACAGAAGAAGCACCGGCUAACUCCGGUGCCAGCAGCCGCGGUAAUACGGAGGGUGCGAGCGUUAAUCGGAAUUACUGGGCGUAAAGCGCGCGUAGGUGGCUUGAUAAGCCGGUUGUGAAAGCCCCGGGCUCAACCUGGGAACGGCAUCCGGAACUGUCAAGCUAGAGUGCAGGAGAGGAAGGUAGAAUUCCCGGUGUAGCGGUGAAAUGCGUAGAGAUCGGGAGGAAUACCAGUGGCGAAGGCGGCCUUCUGGACUGACACUGACACUGAGGUGCGAAAGCGUGGGUAGCAAACAGGAUUAGAUACCCCGGUAGUC